GCAGAUCUCCUUCGGGAGUGACGCUUGUGGAACGAGCGGCGGACGGGUGAGUAACACGUGGGCAACCUACCUGUAAGACUGGGAUAACUCCGGGAAACCGGGGCUAAUACCGGAUGAAACAAAGCGUCGCAUGACGCAAUGUUAAAAGGCGGCAUAUGCUGUCACUUACAGAUGGGCCCGCGGCGCAUUAGCUAGUUGGUGAGGUAAAGGCUCACCAAGGCAACGAUGCGUAGCCGACCUGAGAGGGUGAUCGGCCACACUGGGACUGAGACACGGCCCAGACUCCUACGGGAGGCAGCAGUAGGGAAUCUUCCGCAAUGGACGAAAGUCUGACGGAGCAACGCCGCGUGAGUGAUGAAGGUUUUCGGAUCGUAAAACUCUGUUGUUAGGGAAGAACAAGUGCCAUUCGAAUAGGUUGGCACCUUGACGGUACCUAACCAGAAAGCCCCGGCUAACUACGUGCCAGCAGCCGCGGUAAUACGUAGGGGGCAAGCGUUGUCCGGAAUUAUUGGGCGUAAAGCGCGCGCAGGCGGUCCUUUAAGUCUGAUGUGAAAGCCCACGGCUUACCCGUGGAGGGCCAUUGGAAACUGGAGGACUUGAGUACAGAAGAGGAGAGUGGAAUUCCACGUGUAGCGGUGAAAUGCGUAGAGAUGUGGAGGA
rnacentral:rRNA from 1 species